rnacentral:rRNA from 1 species
AACGAACGCUGGCGGCAGGCCUAACACAUGCAAGUCGAACGCCCCGCAAGGGGAGUGGCGCACGGGUGAGUAACACGUGGGAACCUACCUUCUGGUACGGAACAACCAAGGGAAACUUUGGCUAAUACCGUAUACGACCUCCGGGUGAAAGAUUUAUCGCCGGAGGAGGGGCCCGCGUCCGAUUAGGUAGUUGGUGGGGUAACGGCCUACCAAGCCGACGAUCGGUAGCUGGUCUGAGAGGAUGACCAGCCACACUGGGACUGAGACACGGCCCAGACUCCUACGGGAGGCAGCAGUGGGGAAUAUUGGACAAUGGGCGAAAGCCUGAUCCAGCCAUGCCGCGUGAGUGAUGAAGGCCUUCGGGUUGUAAAGCUCUUUCACCCACGACGAUGAUGACGGUAGUGGGAGAAGAAGCCCCGGCUAACUUCGUGCCAGCAGCCGCGGUAAUACGAAGGGGGCAAGCGUUGUUCGGAAUGACUGGGCGUAAAGGGCGCGUAGGCGGUUCGUUGCGUCAGAUGUGAAAGCCCCGGGCUCAACCUGGGAACUGCAUUUGAUACGGGCGGGCUUGAAUCCAAGAGAGGGUGGUGGAAUUCCCAGUGUAGAGGUGAAAUUCGUAGAUAUUGGGAAGAACACCAGUGGCGAAGGCGGCCACCUGGCUUGGUAUUGACGCUGAGGCGCGAAAGCGUGGGGAGCAAACAG